ACGAACGCUGGCGGCGUGCUUAACACAUGCAAGUCGCACGCUGAAGCUUGGUGCUUGCCCUGGGUGGAUGAGUGGCGACCGGGUGAGUAAUACGUGAGUAACCUGCCCUUGACUCUGGGAUAAGCCUGGGAAACUGGGUCUAAUACUGGAUAUGACAUGCCACUGCAUGGUGGUGUGUGGAAAGGGUUUUACUGGUUUUGGAUGGGCUCACGGCCUAUCAGCUUGUUGGUGGGGUAAUGGCCUACCAAGGCGACGACGGGUAGCCGGCCUGAGAGGGUGACCGGCCACACUGGGACUGAGACACGGCCCAGACUCCUACGGGAGGCAGCAGUGGGGAAUAUUGCACAAUGGGCGGAAGCCUGAUGCAGCGACGCCGCGUGAGGGAUGACGGCCUUCGGGUUGUAAACCUCUUUCAGCACGGAAGAAGCGAGAGUGACGGUACGUGCAGAAGAAGCGCCGGCUAACUACGUG
rnacentral:rRNA from 1 species